AUACAUGCAAGUCGAACGCACCCUUCGGGGUGAGUGGCGCACGGCUGAGUAACACGUGGGAAUCUGUCGUCGAGUGGGGGAUAACGCACCGAAAGGUACGCUAAUCCCGCAUACGUUCCGCAAGGAAGAAAGGCGCAAGUCGCUGGACGAGGAGCCUGCGGCCCAUCAGGUAGUUGGAGGGGUAACGGCCCACCAAGCCAAUGACGGGUAGCUGGUCUGUGAGGACAACCAGCCAGACUGGGACUGAGAACGGCCCAGACUCCUACGGGAGGCAGCAGUAAGGAAUUUUCGUCAAUGGGGGAAACCCUGAACGAGCAACGCCGCGUGGAGGAUGACGGUCUUCGGAUUGUAAACUCCUUUUAUGAGGGACGAUAAUGACGGUACCUCAGGAAUAAGCCCCGGCUAACUCUGUGCCAGCAGCCGCGGUAAUACAGAGGGGGCAAGCGUUGUCCGGAAUUACUGGGCGUAAAGAGCACGUAGGCGGUCGCGCAAGUGGUGUGUGAAACCAAUCAGCUUAACUGAUUGACGCCAUGCCAAACUGCGCGACUCGAGUCAUGGAGAGGUUAUUCGAAUUGCUGGUGUAGUGGUGAAAUGCGUAGAGAUCAGCAGGAAGACCAAGGGCGAAAGCAGAUAACUGGCCAUGCACUGACGCUCAGGUGCGAAAGCGUGGGGAGCAAACUGGAUUAGAUACNCNAGGUAGUCCACGCUGUAAACGAUGUAUGCUCGGUAUGUGUGCCUGUUAAGGGCAUGGGUACCUUAGGAAA
rnacentral:rRNA from 1 species